CAAACUGAAAGAGCAGUUGGCUGCCUCACCAGCCAUCUGUUGCGGCUCCUCAUCUGGGGAGGAGCAGGUUAAUGCUUUGGCUGGUUCCCAGUCACCUCGUCCACAGUGUGUCUACUCCUACCCAGGAUGCGCAUACAGAUGUGUGGGCCCGUCUGUGCCUCAGUCUCUUGCUCCGUUGGACAGAGAUAAUAGAAGCUGAGAGAGAAGCCACUUGUUUGGGGCUCUCAGGUCUGCUGGCCACAGACAGAUGCUAUCCAUCUAUGCCCCUCUCUGGAUCCAUGCUCUCUGGAGAAGGUCUGGGAGGGCGCGGCCACAGUCUCCUCCUUUCGGAGCCCUCCACUACCUUGGGUGUAGGGGGGCUAUUUGUGUUUACUUCCCUGGCUUCUGGGUCCCUUUGUGAGCCUACCCGAUAGCAAUCUCAAAUAAAAUGGAGUGAAG
rnacentral:lncRNA from 1 species